rnacentral:tRNA from 1 species
CGGUAGUUGCUCGAGAGGCUGAAGAGGUUGGUCUCGAAAACCAAUAAUGGUGAAAGUCAUUCAAGGGUUCAAAUCCCUUACUACCGG